rnacentral:rRNA from 1 species
CCUACGGGAUGCAGCAGUGGGGAAUAUUGGGCAAUGGGCGCAAGCCUGACCCAGCAACGCCGCGUGAAGGAAGAAGGCUUUCGGGUUGUAAACUUCUUUUGUCAGGGACGAAGCACGUGACGGUACCUGACGAAUAAGCCACGGCUAACUACGUGCCAGCAGCCGCGGUAAUACGUAGGUGGCAAGCGUUAUCCGGAUUUAUUGGGUGUAAAGGGCGUGUAGGCGGGAAUGCAAGUCAGCUGUGAAAACUAUGGGCUCAACCCAUAGCCUGCAUUUGAAACUGUAUUUCUUGAGUGAGGGAGAGGCAAGCGGAAUUCCGUGUGUAGCGGUGAAAUGCGUAGAUAUACGGAGGAACACCAGUGGCGAAGGCGGAUUGCUGGACAGUAACUGACGCUGAGGCGCGAAAGCGUGGGGAGCAAACAGGAUUAGAUACCCCUGUAGUC